AGGGAGUCACCCACGUCUUCGCCUACCCCGGCGGCGCCUCCAUGGAGAUCCACCAAGCCCUCACCCGCUCCCCCACCAUCACCAACCACCUCCUCCGCCACGAGCAGGGUGAGAUCUUCGCCGCCGAGGCCUUCGCCCGCUCCACCGGUCUCCCCGGCGUCUGCAUCGCCACCUCCGGCCCCGGCGCCACAAACCUCGUCAGCGGUCUCGCCGACGCCCUCCUCGACUCCGUCCCCCUCGUCGCCAUCACCGGCCAGGUUCCCCGCCGCAUGAUCGGCACCGACGCCUUCCAGGAAACCCCCAUUGUCGAGGUAACUCGCUCCAUCACUAAACACAAUUACCUAGUUCUAGAUGUAGACGAUAUCCCGCGAGUCAUCCGUGAGGCUUUCUUUCUUGCAACAUCCGGCCGCCCUGGCCCCGUCCUCGUCGACAUCCCGAAAGACGUACAGCAACAGCUCACCGUCCCAAAGUGGAACACCCCAAUUCGCCUCGCAGGAUACAUCUCUCGCCUUCCGAAACCGCCCACUCAGGCACACCUAGAGCAAAUACU
rnacentral:misc_RNA from 1 species